UAUAUUUUGCAAUUAUUUAAACUUGUGAUGAAAAAUUUUAAUUGCCAAAUUAAAAAUGUCUGAGAAGGCAUAUACAUUUUCUAAAUUAUUUCACAGGAUUCUCAAGUAAACAGGAGCAAAACCAAAUAGAACAUUUUCUUUAUCCAUUCGUCUGUUGACAAACACCUAUACUGGUUCCAUAACUUGGAUCUUGUGAAUUUUGAUGCUACAAAUGGGAGUAUGUACAUAUCACUAGAGUAUGCUGACUUUAUUGGGAUAAAUACCAAGGAGUGGGAUAGCUGGGUCAUAUGGUGUUUCCAUUCCUGUCUUUUGAAGCCUCUGCAUACUGCUUUCCAGACUGACAGGAAAAUGGAUGGAUCUAGAGAACAUCAGUUAAAUGAAAUAGGCCAGACUCAGAAAGUCAAGGGUUCUAGGUUUUCUCUCAUGUGUGGAAGCUAGAGAGAAAAAAAAAAGGGGGUGGGGGAAGAGAGAUACCACGAAAAUAGAAGAAAAAAAAAACAGUAGAGUAGAG
rnacentral:lncRNA from 1 species